ensembl:snoRNA
AGCACUGUAUGCAGUCUGCACCAGACCAUAUUCUCUUGAAGGGAUGUUGAAAAGGCAAUGCUACACUAAUUCAGUAUUUCAUAUUGAUGGAUUUCAUGCUGCUGUGUGCUAGUUCAGCCAAGUAUUUCUGUGGAUACAGAU